rnacentral:sRNA from 1 species
GCUGGGUGCGGUGGCGCACACCUGUGAUCCCAGCAGCUCAGGAGGUCGAGUCAGGAGGAUCAUGAGUUCAAAACCAGCCUCAGCAAAAAGCAAGGUGCUAAGCAACUCAGUGAGACCCUGUCUCUA